UCCGUGCCAGCAGCCGCGGUANUACGGAGGGUGCAAGCGUUANUNGGAAUUACUGGGCGUAAAGCGCACGCNGGCGGUUUGUUAAGUNAGAUGUGAANUCCCCGGGNUCAACCUGGGAANUGCAUUUGAAACNGGCNAGNNGAGUNNNUAGAGGGGGGUAGAAUUCCAGGUGUAGCGGUGAANUGCGUAGAGAUCNGGAGGAAUACCGGUGGCGAAGGCGGCCCCCUGGACAAAGACUGACGNUCAGGUGCGAAAGCGUGGGGAGCAAACAGGAUUAGAUACCNUGGUAGUCCACGCUGUAAACGAUGUCGACUUGGAGGUUGUUCCCNUGAGGAGUGGCUUCCGGAGCUAACGCGUUAAGUCGACCGCCUGGGGAGUACGGCCGCAAGGUUAAAACUCAAAUGAAUUGACGGGGGCCCGCACAAGCGGUGGAGCAUGUGGUUUAAUUCGAUGCAACGCGAAGAACCUUACCUACUCUUGACAUCCAGAGAACUUAGCAGAGAUGCUUUGGUGCCUUCGGGAACUCUGAGACAGGUGCUGCAUGGCUGUCGUCAGCUCGUGUUGUGAAAUGUUGGGUUAAGUCCCGCAACGAGCGCAACCCUUAUCCUUUGUUGCCAGCGNUYCGGYCGGGAACUCAAAGGAGACUGCCAGUGAUAAACUGGAGGAAGGUGGGGAUGACGUCAAGUCAUCAUGGCCCUUACGAGUAGGGCUACACACGUGCUACAAUGGCAUAUACAAAGAGAAGCGACCUCGCGAGAGCAAGCGGACCUCAUAAAGUAUGUCGUAGUCCGGAUUGGAGUCUGCAACUCGACUCCAUGAAGUCGGAAUCGCUAGUAAUCGUAGAUCAGAAUGCUACGGUGAAUACGUUCCCGGGCCUUGUACACACCGCCCGUCACACCAUGGGAGUGGGUUGCAAAAGAAGUAGGUAGCUUAACCUUCGGGAGGGC
rnacentral:rRNA from 1 species